CCUUGUCAGAUUUCCUCUAAAUGAUUUGGUUUCAGAGUUAUACGCAAAAAACUACAUUUUACCCCUUGUUCUAUUUUUAGCCGUGGUGGCCAUCUUGGUUGGAUGGCCAGGUCAUCGGACACAUUUUUCAAACAAGGUACCUCAAAGAUGAUUGUGGUUAAGUUUGAAUUAAUUUGGCCCAGUAGUUUCAGAGGAGAAGAUUUUUGUAAAAGACAACUAAGAUUUACGAAAAAUGGUUAAAAAUUGACUAUAAAGGCAAUAACUCCUAAAGGGUCAACUGACCAUUUUCGGUCAUGUCGACUUAUUUGUAAAUCUAACUUGCUGUAACAUAAUUGCUGUUUAUAGUUUAUCUCUAUCUAUAAUAAUAUUCAAG
rnacentral:lncRNA from 1 species